UUCUGCAGACCCAUUUCCUACUUCUUCUUCUAUAUAUAUUAUGUCUUCUUCUCCUUUCUUUUCAUUUUUCUUUCUUUUGUGCAGCAAACACCACCACCAACAUAUAUCAAUUUUAUCUCCAUUCACCUCACAAAAUAUGUAUCCUCACGCUGCUCUCUGUUUCUCCCACUCACGAUUUCUUCUCCCAUCAUCACCAAUAUUUUCUUCUUCUUUUCUCCUCCUCCUUAUUUCUCCCAAGUUGCAGCACCAACACCAACACCAUGUUCUCCUUCCUCUCACCAUGGACGAACCACCAUGGCAGCACCUCAACCAUCAUCUUCUUCUCCAUUCACUUGCAGCAGCUACACAACUCCAUCCCCAUCACCAUGCUUCUUAUCUUCCACCAUGAAACAACCAUGGAAGCCAACCACCUCCAUGGCCACUCCUCUUUUCUCAUGGCCGAGUGCCACAACCACCACGCAUACAAGCUCCAGCAAAGGUCACUUCUCCAACCACCAUGGACGGCCACACCUACAACACGCACAACCAUGCCUCCUGCCUUCAUGAGCAAGCCGCCAACACUCCUUCCUCUCACGUGAAGGCCACCAACGUUAGCCAUCACCACCGCUGGUCACAACAACCACCACCUUCCAGCCGAGAACACCAUGGCGAAGCUCCAUGAACAAAAACAGAGGAAGCAAGACGAAGAACAGAGGAGAACGACAUCGCCGACGCCGCCGACAUCGUCAACUUCGGCCGUCGAUUCCGGUGUACUCGGACCUCCGCUCACACCGAGGUUAGUACCGUUGGAACCCUUGCGGCGUCCACAACAAAACCCAUAUUCCGGAUCGUCGUUCCGCCGCCGUCGACCGCCGCUGCUGCCGCCUUCGGGAGCUCUUUCCGGUCAACUCCGGCGACCGAUGGAAAAACGGAGGAUACUGCUACGAUUCUUGCCGUGAGGAGAGCAAACCACUAUUUUCAAUUUCAUAUUUGGGUUAUUUUAUUCGACGACCCCGACGACCACCGUCGACCUUCGGCUGAACUUUCUGGGCAAACCGUCGACUCUUUGGGGAAAUGGACAGCGCUGUUGAGUUCCUGGCCGCGAAAGGGUGAAGGAACAACCUUCCUUUGUGUCUUCGGCGACAAUCCCUCCGUCAACCCCGUGAGCCGCAACUUUCUCUAACGACCCUUCGCCGACAAGUUUCCGAAACUUUAUUUUCGGUACGAAUGACGGGAGCGCUUGGCGACGAAGCCAAAUAAUAAAAGGAAGCAAGACGACGCGGGAAAACAAAGAUGUGAUCGAAAUGAAGUCACCGUUUAGGAAGAAAAUUGGCUAAGGCGAUGGAGAGCCUUCCGCUGAAGCUUAGCCGAUCGAGUUGGAGACUGUGACCGUGGGCGGUCGUGUAAAGGUGGAUGAAGCAGUUGCUUCUUCCUUUUGGUGGACUAUGUCUGAGUUUCCUUCCCCAUCUGAAAACUCUGUUGUUUAAACUUUAUCUCUGCCACUGUUCCAGUGAGCGUACUUAUUUUGGAAACCUGCUUACGAUAUUGUAUGACACUAUUAUUAUAUGUCGGGAACGGGUUGUUGAAUAAAGUCUGUGUUAUGUAUUCAAUUAAGUUCA